ensembl:lncRNA
UCUGUCUUCCCAUCGGCUUGGGCACUCAGCAGCAGAGAUUCGAGUAUUUGAGCAAAGAAUCCAGCGGGAACCCUGAGACGAUGAGACGAGAUCGGCUGCAGCAGCCGCGGGUCCCCGUUAUGCAAGAGCGCGCAGCUGGCUCUAAUGGCAGUCAUUUCGCUCCCUAACCCAGCCGGCGGCCAGUCCCUAAUCUCCGAGUCCUGAGUUUGAGACCCAAAUUGAGCAGUUUGAGGGACGGCGGCGCAGCUUCCGCUCAGAACACGCCGCGCUCCGCCACUCGUGUGUGGCUUCCAGCGGCUACUGAGGCACCUCGUCCUGCAAUCCAGGGCCCCACGGGCCUUCCGACCGACCUGCAAGCUCAAUCGACGUUGGCCCAACUUUCCUUUUGUCCACGUGGGAGCAGUAACAGGCUCCCCUUUUUCACCCAGCCUGGGAGUGUCAAUGGAGGCCUGGCCAUGGUCGGUGUAACCCUGAACCUCAACCCCACCUAGAACUGCCUUGAAGUCCCCUGCGCAGCAGCCACGAAGCUCCCAGCUGACGGCGUACAAUUCCCAACCCAUUUCUGCUGGCGGCACCGCAGGAUCUAAGGGAGGCAGCAUUGUCUCCUGGAAGUCUCCAAACGCAGGGUGCAGAAAGCCACACCCAGAACUCUGAGUUCCAAGCCUCAGUCCCAGGGCCCCAGCCGCUGCGUCCCAGAGCCGGGACUCCAAGAGUGUGUCCGCAGAAAAAAGUGGGCUCGUCCGGGAUUUGAACCCGGGACCUCUCACACCCAAAGCGAGAAUCAUACCCCUAGACCAACGAGCCGCCCUAGAGGAAAAAGCUGACUAGGAUCCUUGCAGUUCUGAGCCCCCGGCUCCGCCCCGCCUGGGGCUGGCCUCCGGGCUCGUCCCCUAAGGCUGCGCAGGGCGUAUUUGGGCGCCAGUUUCAGGGAGCCCAGAGUAGGUGGGGCGGUUCAGGGGCCUUCGCAGAAAGAAGACAGCCCCAAGUCCCCGGCCCACGUCUGAGCCGUCAGGAAGACCAGUGGCUGCGGCCGUGCCCACAAGGGAGUGGAGCCUGAGCAGCCUGCGUGAGCGUCGGGGUCUCACGGCAGAUGCCAACCCAGAACUUUCAUCCUGCGGGGUCCCCAAGCCCGAGACCAACGAGAAUGAAACCGAGGACUGCCGCCUCCCAACCGGCCGGCCGGGAGGGCCAGGGCCCCGCCAGACCCCGCGGGGUCCCGACCUCAGCCAAGCACCUUGUGACCUAGGUCGGCCAGGAAAACCUGCGCAACUCUGAGACCCCGACACAGGAAUCAGAGCUGGGGUCAGGAUUCUUCUCUUCCCAAACGGGCGGCCUGCGAACUCUCCAAACUUUGCCUCCCACCUGCCCUGGCCAGGGAUACAGGGUCUUAGUGAGAUUCUGGGAAGGAGGAGGUCUCCCCGGCUUGUUCCCUCGACGAGGACCUGAGGGUG